AUUGAACGCUGGCGGCAUGCCUUACACAUGCAAGUCGAACGGUAACGCGGGGCAACUUGGCGACGAGUGGCGAACGGGUGAGUAAUGUAUCGGAGCGUGCCCAGUUGUGGGGGAUAACUGCUCGAAAGAGCAGCUAAUACCGCAUACGACCUGAGGGUGAAAGCGGGGGAUCGCAAGACCUCGCGCAAUUGGAGCGGCCGAUAUCAGAUUAGGUAGUUGGUGGGGUAAAGGCCCACCAAGCCAACGAUCUGUAGCUGGUCUGAGAGGACGACCAGCCACACUGGGACUGCGACACGGCCCAGACUCCUACGGGAGGCAGCAGUGGGGAAUUUUGGACAAUGGACGCAAGUCUGAUCCAGCCAUGCCGCGUGCGGGAAGAAGGCCUUCGGGUUGUAAACCGCUUUUGUCAGGGAAGAAAAGGGCGACUCUAAUACAGUUGCCUCAUGACGGUACCUGAAGAAUAAGCACCGGCUAACUACGUGCCAGCAGCCGCUGUAACAC
rnacentral:rRNA from 1 species